CAGUAGCCACGGUAAUACAGAGGGUGCGAGCGUUAAUCGGAUUUACUGGGCGUAAAGCGUGCGUAGGCGGCUAAUUGAGUCGGAUGUUAAAUCCCCGAGCUUAACUUGGGAAUUGCAUUCGAUACUGGUUAGCUAGAGUGUGGGAGAGGAUGGUAGAAUUCCAGGUGUAGCGGUGAAAUGCGUAGAGAUCUGGAGGAAUACCGAUGGCGAAGGCAGCCAUCUGGCCUAACACUGACGCUGAGGUACGAAAGCAUGGGGAGCAAACAGGAUUAGAUACCCGUGUAGUCCCUGUCUCUUAUAC
rnacentral:rRNA from 1 species